CCAGACUCCUACGGGAGGCAGCAGUGGGGAAUAUUGCACAAUGGGGGAAACCCUGAUGCAGCGACGCCGCGUGAGUGAAGAAGUAUUUCGGUAUGUAAAGCUCUAUCAGCAGGGAAGAAAUAGCGACCUUUGGGUCGCCAGACGGUACCUGAUUAAGAAGCCCCGGCUAACUACGUGCCAGCAGCCGCGGUCAUACGUAGGAUCCGAGCAUUAUCCGGAGUGACUGGGUGUAAAGAGUUGCGUAGGUGGCAUAGUAAGUAGCUAGUGAAAUCUGGUGGCUCAACCAUUCAGACUAUUAGCUAAACUGCUAAGCUCGAGACCGUUAGGGGUAACUGGAAUUUCUAGUGUAGGAGUGAAAUCCGUAGAUAUUAGAAGGAACACCGAUAGCGUAGGCAGGUUACUGGGACGGUUCUGACACUAAGGCACGAAAGCGUAGGGAGCAAACGGGAUUAGAUACCCGAGUAA
rnacentral:rRNA from 1 species